GCCGGGGUAGCCUAGCCUGGGAAGGCGCGGGACUCGAGAUCCCGUGGGCGUCCGCCCGCCAGGGUUCAAAUCCCUGCCCCGGCGCCA
rnacentral:tRNA from 1 species